UGAGUUUAGGCCCUGUACUAACUGAUAGGUUGAUGAGUUUAGGCCCUGAAUGUUCCACAUGCUGACUGAUAGGUUGAUGAGUUUAGGCCCUGAAUGUUCCACAUGCUGACUGAUAGGUUGAUGAGUUUAGGCCCUGAAUGUUCAACAUGCUGACUGAUAGGUUGAUGAGUUUAGACCCUGAAUGUUCCACAUGCUGACUGAUAAGUUGAUGAGUUUAGGCCCUGAAUGUUCCACAUGCUGACUGAUAAGUUGAUGAGUUUAGACCCUGAA